UUGUACAUCGACCUGUGUGUGUGUUGCGUCAUCUCUGUGGGCAGGGAGAGCGUGACAUUUGGUGCCGAAACCCGGGAACUGACGACCACAAAGGAAAGGUUAGAAGUUUGCUGAAGAGCAACCACAAAGGGACAGCAGCUGUAUGUUUGCAGAUCGCGACUGUAAAGGUAAAGAUAAUGGGGUCGGAAAUUUCUAGACUCCGAAUG